rnacentral:rRNA from 1 species
AUUGAACGCUGGCGGCAGGCCUAACACAUGCAAGUCGAACGAGUGGCGGACGGGUGAGUAAUGUCUGGGAAACUGCCUGAUGGCGGGGGAUAACUACUGGAAACGGUAGCUAAUACCGCAUACCAUCGGAUGUGCCCAGAUGGGAUUAGCUCGUAGGUGGGGUAAAGGCUCCCCUAGGCGACGAUCCAUAGCUGGUCUGCGCGGAUGACCGGUAACUCUGGAACUGAGAAACGGUCCAGAAUCCUACGCGAGGCAGCAGUGGGGAAUAUUGCACAAAGGGCGCAAGCCUGAUGCAGCCAUGCCGCGUGUAUGAAGAAGGCCUUCGGGUUGUAAAGUACUUUCAGCGGGGAGGCGUUACCCGCAGAAGAAGCACCGGCUAACUCCGUGCCAGCAGCCGCGGUAAUAC